rnacentral:tRNA from 1 species
AAGAGUGUGGUGGAAGGGUAGACACCCCGGAUUUAGGAUCAGGUGAGUAUGGGUUCGAGUCCCAUCACUCUUA